rnacentral:rRNA from 1 species
GAUGAACGCUGGCGGCGUGCUUAACACAUGCAAGUCGAACGGUGAAGGCGGAGCUUGCUCUGCUGGAUCAGUGGCGAACGGGUGAGUAACACGUGAGCAAUCUGCCCCUGACUCUGGGAUAAGCGCUGGAAACGGCGUCUAAUACUGGAUACGAGCUGCGAAGGCAUCUUCAGCAGCUGGAAAGAACUUCGGUCAGGGAUGAGCUCGCGGCCUAUCAGCUUGUUGGUGAGGUAACGGCUCACCAAGGCGUCGACGGGUAGCCGGCCUGAGAGGGUGACCGGCCACACUGGGACUGAGACACGGCCCAGACUCCUACGGGAGGCAGCAGUGGGGAAUAUUGCACAAUGGGCGAAAGCCUGAUGCAGCAACGCCGCGUGAGGGACGACGGCCUUCGGGUUGUAACCCUCUUUUAGCAGGGAAGAAGCGAAAGUGACGGUACCUGCAGAAAAAGCGCCGGCUAACUACGUG